rnacentral:rRNA from 1 species
UACGUAGGGGCCGAGCGUUGUCCGGAGUUACUGGGCGUAAAGCGCGCGCAGGCGGCUCGUCAAGCCUGACGUGAAAGCCCCCGGCUCAACCGGGGAGGGUCGUCGGGGACUGGCGGGCUUGAGGUCGGCAGGGGUUGGUGGAAUUCCUGGUGUAGCGGUGAAAUGCGCAGAUAUCAGGAGGAACACCGGUGGCGAAGGCGGGUCUCUGGGCCGAUACUGACGCUGGAGGAGCGAAAGCGUGGGGAGCGAACAGG